CAUUAGCACAUGGUAAAUUGUGCAUUCUCAUUUGCCUUCUGUUACUUGCUUGUUUGUUUUGGUGGGUUUUGAGCUGCCAGGGGACCAAGCUCGUCUCUGCAAGCACAACUGCCUGAUGCUUUCUUUAGAAUUCAAAACCAAAAGAUGAGAUUUAGAUGUCAUCACCUGUCUGCAGGGAUUUGGGGCUUUUACUAAAACUCCCCAAACUCACUGUAAAACUUAAGAUGGAAUUUUGUCAGCAACUGGCAAAGACGUAAAAGUGGUAUAUGAAGAAUGGGUGCUGCCUGACAAAUUCUUCUCUACACCAGGGAUCUCUGGACUGCUUUAAAGCAGCUGGGCGCCGUGAAAGCAGCUUUGCAGCACCCGCAAAGAGAGUGACACCUGGCAGGCAUUGUUUGAUUGGAAGGAGCUACCUAUUGCCACAUCGUUCCUUUGCACUCUUUCUUCUGCUCCCUUCUCUAUCACAAGACAUGUGUGACCAGAACAUGUUUAGGAGCCAGGAACUAUUUCUAAUUCUUGCUCUAACACCAUCUUCUUUGUGACAUGAAGGCAGGUAUAUGGGUAUUUUUAAAGGAUUUUUUAAAAAAUAGCCUCUAAUUGGAGUGCCCAUAUUUGGGUAUGUAGUCAAAGGCAUACUAGGCCAAAUUUUCAGAAAUGGUAAAUACCUGUGAAUCCUUUUAUUUUCAGCUGGGAUUGUAGAUACUCAACGAUGAGUAGUCAGGGCAAAUUAGUUAUUCUUUAGAAGGCUUAAAUGUGAAUUGUGUUACAUAAGUUUUUAAGCACUAGGGAACUAAUGAGCAGCACUAAUAUUAAGUACUAUUCUUAACAGCAACUGCAGUUUUCACAUUGAGGUGUGAAUUUGAGAAGAGGAGGAGGAGAAAUGAAGAAAAAUUAUCUAAAAAUGUGGCAGGGGGACUUUCCUCAUGGAUCAGUCUUCAGGGAGACAAUUUGGCACGUGUGUAGAUUUAAGAGUAUGUUUCUUCCAUUGAAGGCCAUGGAGCUUGAGAGGAGAAGUUGUAACUGUAUAGCAGCUGACGUUAGAAACUGGAUGGCAGGUUGGCCAGGACUGGAGUGAGGAUGGAGUAACACUGGACUGGGCUGUUAAGGAUGAAGACUGGAACUGACUGGGAAAGGCUGUCCAGCCUGGGAGCUGCAGAAAGGCACACAGCAGGUGUGGGACUGGGACCAGCUGAUAAACAAGGGGAAGGUGGGAGGGGUUUGGCAUGAAAGUCAAAAGGAUAAAAAAUGGGGAUGAUAGGGUCAAGGAGAAAGGCGAUGACAAAUGAAACUGCCUGAGCAAAUUCAUUGAAUGGAGUGUGUGGGGAACAUGAAAUCAGAAAAUGUCCAGCAGGCUGCAAACUGGGGUGAGGAACAGGAGUGAGGAUGCAGAGCUUGAAUGCCAAGGGUGGCUGGAGGAUCAAUGAGUGAGAGACGAGAGAUGGAUCUGAAGGAGAACAGGAAGGGAGAGUUGGGUCUGGGAGGAGACGCGUCGAAGUAGGGGUCAAGUGAUUGUUGUAGAUAAAUAAAGCUAAAAUAAAGCUAAGUUUUUGCACUCCUUCCCCUGCAGAAAUGUCUGAGUAGCUUUUUGCAUAAAAUGCAAUCAUCUGCAGGGACAGCAGUUGGACUCGAUGAUCCUGGUGGGUCCCUUCCAACCCGAGACAUUCUAUGAUUCUAUAAUUCUAUUAAUAACAACCCAGACUUCCUCAGGAUAGUAGGAGGGGACCUUUCUCUGCUUGUUGAGUAGGAACUAGACUAAGUCAUUUGGAUUUUUAGUUUGUGCUUUUUCGGGGGGAUAGGAAAGAAGUAUUUAUUCUUUGAUCAGAGACCAUUUGGAGUUUGUUGGUAAACUGUGAAUGUCUCUUGUAGUGGAAAAUCUUUUUCGGAUGUUUCUGACAGAUGCCUGCAAUGUUGCUUAAAACCAGUCAUACACUGGCCUCACUUAUUCUCCUUUGUCCAGGUAACUUUUAAAAAGGCACACUUCAUCUGCUCCACUGUGUUGUGUUCUGGGGUUUGUAAUCUGUGUUGUUGCAAAGGGCAGCAGCUGCUGCAGUUGUUUGUUGAUCUUUGUGCACUCUGUGAUGUUACGGGGUUGAUCUGUCAGCUCUUUGGCCAACAGGGCUGGUGCCUUAUACCAGCAUUUGAAGCUGAUUGGGGGCUACUUGGAGGACUUGAGAUUGAGGCCUUUGCUCCAAAAUAUUUUAUUUUCUAGUAACAAUUCUGAAACAGUAUUUUGAGCUUAAUACAAUGAGUUGCAACUAAUCCAGCCUGAUACAAAAAAUGCCCAGAGUCUCCUGGUCAAGAUAAGUGUUUCCCCAGAAGAGAAAGGUAAAUGUAUUAUGGAAAGCGUAUGCUACUUGAAUAGCCAAAAUGAGCAUGAGCUGUGGAAAUCUUUCUUUUUUUGCUGAAUAAGGGCUGUGAAAGGCACUAAAAACCUCUCAGACAGCUUCCGAUUUGGAUGUUCUUCUUUUCUAUCCAUUAUCGCUUGAGUCUUCUCUGGCUCUGAUCUGGACCAGCUGUUUUCCACCCUAAUCUUCUUUCCCAGAGUGAUCUGGACAUGUUCACAGUGGCGGUGGGGGUAACGCUGGGUACACACAAAGUGCUGCAGUUGUCCUUGGCAUGUUAUUGUUGGUUAAACCGGUGGAAUCUCAUUAGGUUAGAUUUCUUCGUGGCCGCUUACAGGCGCUGACGGGUGGAAGAUCCCUGUGGUCUGCAGAGAUAAAGGCCUUCGGCAAGGAGGAGCGAAGGCUUAUCAGCGCUGCUGGGGAAAGCAGAACGUCUGGAGUCUUUGAGGCUUUGGGCCAGCAGCGUGUUGGCACAAAAUCGCAUUGGGGAUAAAGCUUAAAGGGCUGCCCCAGGGUUGUACAUGUUUCCAUAUCCCUGGAAAAGCAGGUUUUUAACGGCGUUAAUCAGCGACGACGAAACGAGGGUGCGGAAGUUGGUAAUACUGGAAACGUUUUUCCUGAUUGCGCAUUUCUUGAGCAUUUUAAAUCGGCCGGAACUACCAGCGCUAGGCCAGGCAGCAGCGGUGGAGUCCUAGAGCAGAGACACAGCCUUGCUCAGCCCCCUGUUUCCCGCAGGAAAACACCUGGGUUCCCUCCGGGCGCCCCGCGGGGGAAAGAGACCGAGCGGGCAGCACCGGGGCCAGGACAGUCCUCAGGCCCCGCCCCUCGCCCCGCCUCCCCCGCGACGUCAUGGAAUUCCAGGCGCUCCCGCCAAUGGCGGCGCCGGGCCAGCGGCGGGGGCGCGCGUCAGCCAGCCGGGCGCGCCGGACCCGGCUCGCCGCAAGUGGCCCCGGGCUCGGCCCCGCCUUGCCCCGGUCCCACCGGCCGAGCCAGGGAGGGAGAAGGACGCGGGGAGUAAGCGGGGAAAGCACGGCGGCUUCCUCCUGCCGUCCGAGCGUGUUCGGAGCUGAAGCUGACAGGGAUGAUCUGUGAAUUGUUAAUCCCCGGGCAGCUUCUUGCAGCUGGAAACUGGUGCUGCCGGCUUUUAACUUUUCCAGCUGCUCAUUAUGGGACGCGUGUGUUAUGUCGGGAAUUGAUGCCAAUUUCAGUGCCUGGCUUUUGGGGUUUAUUUACAAAUACUCCAUGGUGUAAUACUAUACAGCCCUGAGUUCCCUUUCUGGCUCUCCAGUAAGGUGCUGUUCUCAUAAAAUACUAUCAACAGAUAAAUUACUCCACUAAUUCUUCUGUAAGCAUAACUAAAAUCCUUUAUAGUUUAUUUUUCCUGAGUCGCCUCUCAUAAGCUCACCAUAGGGUCAGAGGUGUGUGCCUGGUAUAUAUCUACACCAGCCUGUGUAGUUCAGCCCAUUUCAUUUAUUUGAGUACCAAAGCAGCCUACAUCUAUUUUAGCAGGGUGUUCGGUCCACAAGAACGCUUUUCCUCAUCAGUUUUGAUUAGCCCCAAGCAAAUUACUCCAAUCACAUGGCUAAACUGCUUCUACUGCUGGAGGCAGCUGUGCCUCUGCACAAAACUGCAUUACAUCGUCAUCCAUAAGAAAGAUUUUGCAAAUCGAGUACAGCUCCUUCUCAUACCUAAAGGACAGACAAGAUGGUGGCACCAGUUUGCGUGCGUACAGAACCUGAAAUGCAGUUAACAAAACUGCAAGUGACUGUUCAGUCAUAUUAGAGCAGAGGUUACUUUCCCAUGGGGCAUUUCAUUUCUGACAUUAACAGAAAAUAAAGUAAGAGUGAAUUUUCUCAUUAAACAACAUGGCAGCUGAUACAAGUGGAUGGGAUCUGUUGGUGAUGACAGUGCUAAAUUUACAGUCACUUUUCUAAUAGCUGCAUUCAGGACUUGAAAUAGUUUGACAGCACUGAUACAGGGCACAAGACUCCUUUUCCUUCCCCAAACCUCCAGUUUUCCUUACAACAUGUUGUGACUGCAGUUUGUUUCUGACCUCGACCAUCCUCUCCUGUCCUUCAGCUCUUACUUUGCAGGGUGAGGAAGAGGAGGCUCCCAUGUUAGAUCCUCACUGGGUUAGCUUUGACAAGCCCUGUUUGUGGCGAGAAUUCUGGAGUUACUUCUAUGUAAAAAGCCAAAAUAAAAACCACAAACAAAACAUAACAAAACCCCAAAACAAACAAAAUAAAAACAAAAGCAAACAAAACCCAAACAACCCCACCCAAAGCCAGUCAGACUGACUCUGGGGGACGACGAGGUGCUUUAUACUUUGGGGAGGGUAGGAGCUGGAGCUGGCUCGCCCUGCAGCGCUGGCCCACCCGCAGCCCGCUGCUGGCAGCCCCCUCCCCUGGGGCUUGUUUUCCGGGUCCCUGUUGCUCCUGCCGCCCAACCGGCGGGGGGGACCAGACGCGCUAGGGGGGCGCUGGGGGCUACGGGCGGGGCGGGAGGGCGACGGGUGCCGGGCUCGGCGGGGCUGGAGCCUCCGUUCCGGUCCCCGCUUCUGUCCCCGCCGGGGAGGGGCGGGGGAGGGAAUCCCCCCUCGCGCGCGCGGCGUGUC